ensembl:ncRNA Y24D9A.14 ncRNA
AACUUGGGCUAAUCGUUACCACGUGGAGGCGGGAACGAUCAAAUACGGGAGGAUUCUUGGGUGAUAGAAUUUCGACCAAUCAGCGCUUCGCUCCGCCCACUGUUCGAACAAUCAGCGUUUUGCUCCGCCCACUUUUAGACCAAUCAGAUGAAAAGUGUGCUGAGUUCGAAGGCGCUGGUUGGUGUGGCUUUUCAUUCUUGGAAAUUCAAACAGCGAAUUUAGCCGAAAUCAUAA